AGUCCAAAUACCAAGGGCUAUUUGGUUUGGUAAUACGGUCUCACGUCUGGUCUAUGACGCCAUGCCACGUAUAAAUUUAUUUGGUCAAUUGCCUUCGUCACCUUUUUUUUAUUAAUUUGUAAAAAAUUAUUUUUUUGUUUGAAAAAUUCUUAAAUUGAACAGAGACGCUGCUCCGAUUCCGAUCUGAUACCGACUCUCAUUAUCCGACUCCGAUUUUGUUAUCUGACUCCGAUUUUGAUUCUGAUUUUGACGCUGAUUUUAUUAUCUGGUUCCGAUUCUGACUCUUGGAAAAGAAUAAAAUAUUUGGAUAAUCUGUAUUCAGAAAUUUAGUCAAACUCAGGUUUUUCCUGGAGUUUUGGCAUGGAGUAGUCUGUGGCAUGACUUUUGUUUCUGUGGUGCUUUUUGGGCUAUUUGAAAUACCAACUUUCCAAAUUGUUUAUGCAAAAUUGAUCCGGUGUGUCCAGUGCUACAAUUUUGACUCAUCGCUUGAAAUUUGAGCCUAGUUUAUACCAUUUGAAAUAGAUUUCUCAACCAUUGUAUACAUGUUCAUGAUUAAAUAUGGAAGUAAUGACACAUAACAUCCAAGUCGCACUGCAUGAUAAAAUCAGAUGUCCAUGUGAAUGCCGUCCAUUUGAGAAUUGUGAUUACAAUUCAAGAAUAGCUACUGAGAUCUGUUGCAAGAAACUGGAAUAUUUCAUUCUCAGUUGAAUGGAAUGAAACAAUUUGUAGAUGAAAAUCAUGGUGCAGUUUGAAGAUGCGCAUGAUACAGGAUUUGUAGGUGCCUUGGCCUUGGAAAGUAUCCUGCUGAGCUGAUUGCAGUUUGUAUCGAUUCGGUUGUCUUCAGCUUUGUCUAAGAACUUCUAAGCUUGGACAUGCAACUUCUAAGCUUGGACAUGCUGGACUUACAAAGUGAAACGGAAAUUGAAUGAAUCAAUCUAUAACUCUUUUAACUACUUAGUAAUCAUUAUAUUUUUAAGUCA